UGGGGGAUAUUGCACAAUGGAGGAAACUCUGAUGCAGCGACGCCGCGUGAGGGAAGAAGGUUUUCGGAUUGUAAACCUCUGUGGAGCGGGACGAUAAUGACGGUACCGCUCAAGGAAGCCACGGCUAACUACGUGCCAGCAGCCGCGGUAAUACGUAGGGGGCAAGCGUUAUCCGGAUUUACUGGGUGUAAAGGGAGCGCAGGCGGUCUUGCAAGUCUGAUGUGAAAGCCCGGGGCUCAACCCCGGGACUGCAUUGGAAACUGUGAGACUUGAGUGUCGGAGGGGCAAGUGGAAUUCCUAGUGUAGCGGUGAAAUGCGUAGAUAUUAGGAGGAGCACCAGUGGCGAAGGCGGCUUGCUGGACGACAACUGACGCUGAGGCUCGAAAGCGUGGGGAGC
rnacentral:rRNA from 1 species